AAGACAACAGAACUGGAAAACUAAAUUGAACGAUCUUACCACCCUCAAAGGGCAUUUCUUAGGAGCAGAAGCCCAGACAUGUGCUACCCAUUGGCUCCCCUGGCUCUCCAGCUUGCUGACUGCAGAUCUUAGGACUUUUCAGACUCCAUAAUCAUACCAAGAGAAAUGCAACAUGGAGAUUGCUUGGGACAUAUUUGCGGACUCAAGAAUUACUGGUGACUGCUGCUGCUGUUGAAUAUUUGGUCUCAACUUUUAAAACAUUAAUUAGGACUCCAAUUAUAAUAUUGCCUGAUCCGUGUUAAAU